rnacentral:tmRNA from 1 species
AACAUGGCAAAUGUUCCCGAAAAGCCUUAUAUUAGUCACGUCGCUUCGGCGACUACGGUGCUAAACCUGCUAUGAAAUAAGCGCUGCGGACCCGGGGGCAGUACCCGGCGCCUCCACCAUUUCCGGCCAAAGUCGGGCCAUCCAUGGGGGCGAAACAGGAUCGACGCGUGUGGUAAAGAUAGUAGCUGUGCUCGGCAUGGUUCCGCCGUUAUCGGGCCAUUUUGAAAAGUGCCAACGACAACGUUGCGUACGCCGCUGCCGCUUAAUUGACGGUAAGCGCGGUUCGGGGGGCACCGGGCAACAGAAGCCCCCCACU